rfam:Ictidomys tridecemlineatus contig099868, whole genome shotgun sequence.
UGAGGUGUGGCUCAGUUCCAGAGUGCUUGCCUAGCAAGUGUGAUGCACUGGGUUCGAUUCUCAGCACCACAU